UUAUAAUGCUGCUGUGAACACUACAAGUUUUUUCUUUUAAAUAUUUAUUUAUUUAUUUGACAGAGAGAGAGAUCACAAACAGGCAGAGAGGCAGAGAGGCAGGCAGAGAGAAAGGGAAGCAGGCUCCCUGCCGAGCAGAGAGCCCGAUGCGGGGCUCGAUCCUGACUCUGGGAUCAUGACCUGAAGGCAAGAGGCUUUAACCCACUAGGCCACCCGGACGCCCCUCCUUCUCCCAGUGUUAGUGUCUUUCUUUAGGCCCUUCUUCUUGAGUUGGUUUGAGUGCUCAUGGAGGAAUGCUUGGAUCCAAUAAGCCUGGCUGCUGGAUUUCUGGGAAGAGAAGAAGGAGUUGAGGUCACCACGUUCAGCCGGCUUCCUGAACAUCUUGGCCUCACCCUUCAUGUUGAAGGAACACACCUGAAACAAUCUGCCACCUGUUUGUCUACACUUUUGGCAUCACUGCGUGCAGGAGUGUGGGUGUCCUUGAAUUCACACUGUGCUCAAAGAAACCAUAAACUGCUUGGCACCUGGGCCUGGGUCUCAAUGCCUUCAUUUAUUACCCCUUUUUCCCCCCAGGCUUAUGAUGCCAAUCUGGACACACAGCAGGAUCCAGUAAGUGUCAGGCCACUGAGAAAUCUAGCUGGUACCAUGCCCAGGAGGACAGGGCCCAGGCCCGUUGGAGGACAAUCUCUGGCCCUUAGGAAUUGAGCUCAGCUGUUAGCGACUGGCAGAGACUGCUCUGGGCUUCCCCAAAGCCAGUCACCACUGUCCCUUAACCAUAGAACUCCAGUGUUAAAA
rnacentral:lncRNA from 1 species